rnacentral:lncRNA from 10 species
UCUCAGCCCCGUUCCAGUCCACCACCCAUCAGCUGCUGUUCAUUUGCACAUCUUCAUCUCAGGACCAAAGCUGAAAAAGAAGCUUCUAUCUGGGGCAUGUGGGUCUUGUAGCAGAGGAAAAAGAGAGAGUGGAAACCCGCUACAGUUGUCAAAGCUGCUCACCUCAUUCCCGCUCACUUUUCACUGGGCAAAGCAAAUCAGAUGGCCAAGCCCCAUGUCAAUGGGGCAGAAAGUAUGAUCCUCCCGGAGGGACUGGUCUGGCAAAGAAGAAAGAUCUCAAGCUUCUCAGUCAAUGUCUUGGUAUCUCUACUCUGGUGUUCUUAAGGAAAAUGCUAUGGGCUCCUUUGGACAUCUGGUAAAGUCUAUGAACCCUAUAUCAAAAUAAUGCUUGUAAAUUCUUACAAUAAAAUACCUAGUAUUACAAAGUAAAGAAUAUGUUGAAAUACAGUUCCAUCCACCAUCCUUUUGCCACUACAGUUUGUGAUUGUUGUAUUUAUUUUCAUGGUUACUUUCUACUUAUGGAAAGUGCAAUUGGUUUCUGUUUAUAGUCAUGACAUACAAUUUGCAUUUUAAAUACAUUUGUUUAAAUUAAAGAGGGAAGAUGAAUUAAGGAAAUAAGUAAAAGUAGGAAAUAUGACAAAGCUAAAAGUGGUGUGCUGUGAUUGAGUGACGAAUGCAGACUUAACCCAAGAGAUGACUUUAUUAAUGGGAAUUUCAGGCACCCUUUCACAUUGGGGACUGUACUAAACCAGGCUUGACACAAGCCUCACUUGUCCAUCAGUCAAUGUCCAUUGAUUGAGCAGCCCCACCAAGUACCAGACACUGUUCCAGGUGUGAGGGCAGGGCAUUGAGCAAGGCAAUUUAUUCUCAAGGUGUUUACAUUGUAGGGAAAGGAUAUAGACAAGAGGCAGGCCAAAACAUUCAAUUAAAAGGUAACUUCAGAUACUGAUUUUUGUCCUGAAGGGCAAAAGGGUGACUAGCAGGGUGACUAGAGAGGGAGUGACUUGGGGUAGGUGUAGGACAGUAGCAGUGGGGUUUGUGGCUUGGCCCAGGGCUGCAUUAGAAAAAGACCAGGCUCCCACUGCAGCAGUGCCCGGAAAAAUGCAGAGACGAGCCAGGAUUUCUGGAUCAUUACCAUGAGGAAGGGAAUAAAUGUGUGUUCUCUUUCAGUUGCUCCUCUUGACACCUGGGUAAAUGGCUGUUUACACAGGCAGAUCACCCAGCCGCUCCCUCAAAGGUAAACAGCUGCUUUCUGCCUCCCCUGCUAGCACAGAUUGGGGCCCUGAAACAGUGUGUACCCAGGCAAAAGAGGAGGUAUUCUCCAUUUAGGUUUCCAUUCAUUCAUUCAGGCAAGAUUUCUUGAGUGCCUCCUAAAAUGCAGGCACCAAGGUAGGUACUGGGAACACAGUAAGGAACAAUAAAGAGGUCCCUCCUCCCCCACCUCUCUCUCCUCUCCACUUAGAAUCCAAGCUAGAGGUGUGCCUCAGAGUCUCAGGCCACUCCUCUCAUGAUACAGAUGGAAAUAUCAGAAUCAGAAGAGGCAAAGUGACUUGCCCAAGACCCGGAGCUAGCCC